UUUUCACUGAGUCUGAGAGGAAAUGUAUCGUUGCUCAUUGCGGUUUACUUUUUGUUUUCCUUUUUCGUAAUAAAUGGUAAUAUAGACUGAAUUUCUACUUGAAAAUUUGAUCAUCGCAUCAUGUGGCCUUAUUAACUAACUGCUGGUCAUUUUCGAAGUAGGCAGAUGAUUUUGCCAAAAUGUCGCCUCAUGCAACAUGCAACCUGUUCCGCAUGUACGUUUUGUCACAUGGAGAACAACCAACCAGAUUAAGUCUGUGCUUUCUUUAUUGCUGUCCAAGUUUGUUUCGUCACAUGGAGAAAAAAAAUAAGACUAGCAGGCAGGUGAAGUCUUAGCUUCAUCUUCAUUGCAAUCUAAUUCACACAUGGAUUUUUUCAGCCAGCCUGGUGAAUGAUAAAAUUUUUAUCUUGACCUUGUAAUGUUUCAUCAGUCACCUUUUAAAAUCUGGAACUUCAGCCAUCCAAUUGUUUAAGCUGCAUGGAAUUCUCAUUUUCCUAUGCUGAGAACUUCAACAACAUGUAGCUACACCAAUUGAAGACCAGUUUAUCGCUUAUGUUCGCUUAGUUGCUGUCCGAUGUGGCACGUUGUUGCUGCCUAUUCCUUAGAAAGAUCUUUCUGCAUCAAGUUCAACUGGUCGUUCCUUGGUGCUGGUGUCCUGUUACCGAAGUUGCAUCAUUAUUUUGUUAAAUUGUCAUCGUGACUAUUGCAGUUUAACGUUUAGAAGUUCAGAAGCAACAAAAACAUAUUUGGGAUGUUAAUGUCAACAAAUAAUAAACAAGUUUCCGGGAUUGGGAAAGGAAAGUGGAGGAUGUUGGAGGGGGGAGGGAGGAUAUUUAAAGUUUGGAUAGAAGUUCAAUUAAUUUAUAACCCUACAAACGUAUUCCUACCAAUCAAUCUCCAUACCCCACAAACAUAAACCUUCCAAUCCUUCAAACCCCGAAAAUAUACACCUACCAACCCUUAAAUUUAUACUCAUAACCCUAUAAACCAAUGUUGAACCUUAACCAUAUAAUAUCUGUAAUAAAUAAAAAUAAAUAUAUUAUCUGAACCAAUUUUUAU